GAUGAACGCUGGCGGCGUGCCUAAUACAUGCAAGUCGAGCGAAUGACGAGGAGCUUGCUCCUCUGAUUUAGCGGCGGACGGGUGAGUAACACGUGGGUAACCUGCCUGUAAGACGGGGAUAACUCCGGGAAACCGGAGCUAAUACCGGAUGAUAACGAGAAGCGCCUGCUUCUUUUUUGAAAGUCGGUUUCGGCUGACGCUUACAGAUGGGCCCGCGGCGCAUUAGCUAGUUGGUGAGGUAACGGCUCACCAAGGCGACGAUGCGUAGCCGACCGGAGAGGGUGAUCGGCCACGCUGGGACUGAGACACGGCCCAGACUCCUACGGGAGGCAGCAGUAGGGAAUCUUCGGCAAUGGACGAAAGUCUGACCGAGCAACGCCGCGUGAGCGAUGAAGGCCUUCGGGUCGUAAAGCUCUGUUGUCAGAGAAGAACAAGUACCGGAGUAACUGCCGGUACCUUGACGGUACCUGACCAGAAAGCCACGGCUAACUACGUGCCAGCCGCCGCAGUAA
rnacentral:rRNA from 1 species